rnacentral:lncRNA from 1 species
UCAAACCCAAAAAUCAUUCCAUCACCAUAUUUGAUCAGUAUCAAACCCAAAAAAAAGCUCCCUCCUCUGUCUAUUUCAUCACCUUCAUCACGCAAGAAAAUCCCAAUCAAUCACCAUUAUCCACAAACCCAAGAUAUAUAUAUAGACAGAUUGUAUCUAGCUAGGUAAUAAACCCCAAAAUUCACCUGAAUUAACUAAAUUAACUAAUAAACCCCAAAAUUCACCUUUCGAUUCCGCCAUGGCCCUACUAUCAUAGUCCUCCUCAUCGCCCUCUUCUUCAUGGCCUUCUUCUCCGUCUACAUCUAUCUCUUAUAUAACGAUGUCGUCGACGCCAACACCAUAA